AAUUCGAUUGAGUUUGAUCCUGGCUCAGGAUGAACGCUGGCGGCGUGCUUAACACAUGCAAGUCAAGGGGGCCCGGGGCGCAAGCCUGGGGCAACCGGCGAACGGGUGCGUAACACGUGAGCAACCUACCCAGGUGUGGGGGAUAGCCGGCCCAACGGCCGGGUAAUACCGCAUACGCUCAACACGAGGCAUUUCGAGUUGAGGAAACCUUCGGGGCACCAUGAGGGGCUCGCGGCCUAUCAGCUAGUUGGCGAGGUAAUGGCUCACCAAGGCUACGACGGGUAGCUGGUCUGAGAGGAUGGCCAGCCACAUUGGGACUGAGAAACGGCCCAGACUCCUACGGGAGGCAGCAGUGGGGAAUCUUGCGCAAUGGCCUAACGGCUGACGCAGCGACGCCGCGUGAGGGAUGACGCUCUUCGGAGUGUAAACCUCUUUUGCCUGGAACGAACUAACAGCUUUUGCUGAUUUGACGGUACCGGGUGAAUAAGCACUGGCUAACUCCGUGCCAGCAGCCGCGGUAAUACGGGGGGUGCGAGCGUUGUCCGGAAUCACUGGGCGUAAAGGGCGCGUAGGUGGCAUGAUAAGGGUGUGGUGAAAGCCCGGGGCUCAACCCCGGGUCGGCCAUGCCGACUGUCAAGCUGGAGUACUGUAGGGGCAGGCGGAAUUCCGGGUGUAGCGGUGGAAUG
rnacentral:rRNA from 1 species